rnacentral:rRNA from 1 species
GGUUCAGGAUGAACGCUAGCUACAGGCUUAACACAUGCAAGUCGAGGGGUAGCAGGGUAGCAAUACCGCUGACGACCGGCGCACGGGUGAGUAACACGUAUCCAACCUUCCCAUAACUCAGGGAUAGCCUUUCGAAAGAAAGAUUAAUACCUGAUAGUACUUUUUCAAGGCAUCUUGAGAAAGUUAAAGAUUUAUUGGUUAUGGAUGGGGAUGCGUUCCAUUAGAUAGUUGGUGAGGUAACGGCUCACCAAGUCUUCGAUGGAUAGGGGUUCUGAGAGGAAGGUCCCCCACAUUGGUACUGAGACACGGACCAAACUCCUACGGGAGGCAGCAGUGAGGAAUAUUGGUCAAUGGGUGAGAGCCUGAACCAGCCAAGUAGCGUGAAGGAUGAAGGUCCUAUGGAUUGUAAACUUCUUUUAUAGUAGAAUAAAGUGAUCCACGUGUGGAUUUUUGUAUGUAUACUAUGAAUAAGGAUCGGCUAACUCCGUGCCAGCAGCCGC